rnacentral:lncRNA from 1 species
AACAUUGUUUACAGGUUUGAUUUUCUGCUGCCGAUGGUGGUGGUUGCUGAGGAGUUUGUCCAUGCCAUGUAUCUCUGCUGGAAGUGAAGAUGCUAUUGAUGGAAAGUAGGGACACACGAAGCACACUUAACUUUUGAGUCAAUGGAAAUUUGUUUGCUAGAGGAAGAAAAUAGAAUUUGCUAUCCCUCCAAAAUCUAAGUAGUCAUAAUCUUUAUGAAAUCUACCAUUAAAAAAACUACACCAAUAAUGCUAAUAGAGAGCCAACAUUUGAAACGCACACCAUCGAUCAUACAAACAUGAGGAUUUUUUGUUUCAAAAAUGGGACAAAAUUAGUAUAAAAUGCAUUUUUAAUUAGCUAAAAGGAUGGAAACAUGAUAAACAACAAAAUUCUAUGCAUGAAAAUAGAGCCUUGCAGCAAUUUUAGAUGUUGCAGUAUUUGUCAUACCAAUACAUUCAAAAGUAUGUUUGAGAAUGAAUAUGUAAUUUUCAAACUGCAUAAGAAAAUUUGUGCAUAAAAAGGUCAUACAACAUCCAGAAAGGCGCACAGUUUCCCCAUGCCUUGGAAAUCCAUGGAUAAGGUGUCUGAUUUUUUAGAAAACAAGGAGGUGUCUUUCUUCUCAUGUUUUUUUGUAAAAUAAUACCAAACUAAUGGGGAGUAUGACAUAAGGCAAAAAAAGGGAGAUAUAUUAAUACAGGAGUAAACAGGUUGAGUAGGUGCCAUUUAGUGGUCCAACAUCCAUCUAGCCUCAAAUCUGUGAGCCUGUACGGGUUCUGAGUAUAAUGGCCUCACACCUGGAGCACGAAUUAAUAAUUAAGUGUCGUGUUGAAGGAUAGUGAAUGUCGUCACUGCAGACUGCGUGGUACUGCAGGUUUACAGAUAAUCACUUCAAAUUCAAGUUUGUUUAGUAAGUGUACCAAAUACUUCAAGGAUAACCUAUACUGGUACUCUUAUGGUUUCAAAUUCAAUUUUAUUAGAUGGUAAGUAUUUUACGGUAGAUGACUACUAAGAUUUUUAUCCAAGUGCUAAGAUCAUGGCACCUGCUAAUUUCACCUUUAUGUGGUGAGAAACGGUCUUUGCAGCGAAAGUACCAGGAAGGAAAUAAUAUUAAAUACGUCAACCUACAGUAAAGUGAAGGCAUAAACUUAGAGUAAAGCAAAGCAGCAGAACCAGCUUGAUUGAGUAUAAGCAGCGACACUACCUACAUAAGAGCUAGUAGGCAUCAUCCUAUGUAGAAGUAGUAAUCACACAAGAAUUUGAAUGUAUUAUCAUAUAUAGGCCUCGUUAAUGGGCGAGCCUCUCUUGUAAUUGAUAAUAAUGCUUAUGAUGUAAAUAGAAGCACCGGUAAGAAUGAAAUAUCACUUUUCGAUCAUUAGUUGACGCUAACUUAGUAAGCAAAAGGAAACAUAACACAUCUAGUUACUUAUUCUCUAAAUAAAAAUUAGAGCGUAAGCAUUCAUGAUACCUCUAUGUAGGAAGUAUGGAGAUAACAUACCUUAAUAAGUGGGUCACAUUGGUCGAUAAGCAAAUCCUCUUGAUGAAGCGCUCCAUGUAACAACAACCACCAGUCUCACUUGAUCUGAAUAAAUUUGUUUCCUGCAACCUGCACAAACAUAAGAGCAUUGUGUAACUAUGUCUGGGCGCGUGGAAAGUCAAAUUGCACAAAGAAUUUGUACAUUCAGUUACAUACAAAAAAAAUCUGGCGAACCAAUCUUCCAUUCAGUCGUAUUUACUUUCCGACAGCAACUAUAUAUGCUGGUGAUGGAGGUUAUAUACUGAAAAAUAUGUACAGGUGAAGGCUAGAUGAUAGUUUCAAAGUUCUGGAAAACAGGUUGUCAAGAAAAUCUUGACACAUUGGCAUCUAGGAGUUUCCAAAAUUAUGGAUAUUUUACAUACGGUCUUAUUGACAGUCUCUGAUUAGAUUCCACUACCACCUUAGGUGCCGUGUUUGGCUUGUAACUGUUGUGGGAUUGGACUGUUUUAGAGGACAUUGUCUCUAGAUGGUGGUCUCAAUUUGGGGAUUGAGAAUGUCUCUUCUCUUAGAUAUGGUUUGGCUAGAACUGCUGCGGACUAAACAACAACUGGAAAAGGCAGAUCGAGACCUCACUCAUUACUCAUAUCACACACAUGAAGGCUGUAAAAUUUGAGCACAAAAUUUUACGUAACCUAUCAUAUCCUGUCAGCUAAAAUGAAGAAACAAAAAAAGUGCUAAUUCCAUAAGUUAUGGUCUCGCUAAACAAUUGCAACUGUAAUAGUAAACUGUUAAAACCAAAACAUCAAUUCAAU